AAUGCAAGCCGUUCUAUCGCUGUUCCGUUUUUACGGAAAAGAGGAAAGUCCGGGCAAUACAGAGCAUCUCGCUUCCUAACGGGAAGAGGUUCAGGAAUGAAAACCUGGAUUAUGGAAAGUGCCACAGAAAUGAUACCGCCACGGUUUACCGAGGUAAGGGUGAAAACGUGAGGUAAGAGCUCACGAUCUCGUUAAGUGAUUAACGUUUUGGUAAACCCCGGGAAUUGAAAGACCAAAUAGGCUAACGCAUGUAGGGCUGCUCGUUCGAUGUUAGUGGGUAGGUCGUUUGAUGUAAAUGGCAACAUUUAUACUAGAUUAAUGAUAGAAAUUUCAAUACUGAAAUACAGAACCCGGCUUACAGGCUUGCAUUUUUC
rnacentral:RNase_P_RNA from 1 species